AAACCAGCACCUCAAGUGGUCAGGAGGAUUAUUGGGCCUAAAGCAUCCGUAGCCUGCUUUGUAAGUUUCCGGUUAAAUCCAUUAGCUCAACUAAUGGGCCGCCGAAAAUACUGUGGAACUAGGGAGUGGGAGAGGUAGACGGUACUCGGUAGGAAGGGGUAAAAUCCUUUGAUCUACUGAUGACCACCUGUGGCGAAGGCGGUCGACCAGAACACGUUCGACGGUGAGGGAUGAAAGCUGGGGGAGCAAACCGGAUUAGAGACCCGGGUAGUCC
rnacentral:rRNA from 1 species